rnacentral:misc_RNA from 1 species
UGGUUCUGGCAUCGAUGAAGAACGCAGCGAAAUGCGAUAAGUAAUGCGAAUUGCAGAAUUCCAGUGAGUCAUCGAAUCUUUGAACGCACAUUGCGCCCUUUGGUAUUCCGAAGGGCAUGCCUGUUCGAGCGUCAUUAUCACCCCUCAAGCCCCUGGCUUGGUGUUGGACGGUUUGGUGGAGGCCCCUCGCGGGCCCCCACCCCUCCCAAAGACAAUGACGGCGGCCUCGUUGGACCCCCGGUACACUGAGUUCUUCACGGGACACGUAUCGGACACACGGGUUUACGGGUCACGGUCUGCCUCCCCUCAGGGAGAAUCUUCUCAAGGUUGACCUCGGAUCAGGUAGGGAUACCCGCUGA